ACAAGUGUACCUCCGAUUGAAAGGAGAUGAAAGUACAAGCGUGACGCAAAAAGCGAAUGCCAAGUCAGCGUGAACAGUACGGGGGUACUGUUCACCUAUUUAUAGGCACGGGACACAACCCAUACAAAAUUACAUUCAUGCCCUUUACACUUGGUAAUAAUUCUAUAGUAAUCUGUCGAGGUCUAAAUAGCCUUUUCAUCUUUAAGUCGGUUUCACUUUUUGUUGUCGCGCCGAAGCUUUCCUGCUCACACCUUCGGCGCUGUAUCAACCUUCGUAUUACUCUGGUCUACUGUGAUGCCGACUUGAAUCUGAAGAUACCUGUUCACACAUUAUACUCCAGAAAUACUGUUAAAUCCUGUUUUUGAGGACCUUCGGAGGCCGAAGGUCCCCAACAGUAGCCCCUCGCAAUAUUAAUUUGUUUAAAAUAAUAAAUUUAGAUUGCGACAUGGACGAAGGCUUUUCGCCGAAGGUCCGAAAAAACACCUUCCCUUUGCUAGAAUAGCAACAUUCACUGACAAGCGGGGUCUUUCAAUUUUCAACGCCCUUGGCGUAUAUAUACGGCCAUACCGCAGACUCAUUUGAUACGCUCUCUGGCCCACUGCUCCCGCUCACUCAAUUUUUAGCUCUUGUGCAUUACGAUUUGCUAAGCUUUUUGUUUUGAAGCUUCGGCUUUGAAAAUAGUUUUUUAGUGCCUCCGAAGAUGUCUGAAGAUAAGAAGACUGCUGCUGAGAUGAAGCUGAGCCUCGACGAGGAGAAAAACUUGGGGUUUCUCAUAGCGAUGUCCAAGACCAAUACAGAAAAAAUCACCAAGGAGAUUCUGGAAGGUUUGUCUGAGGAUACUGGUGACAGUGACAGCUAUGAUGUGGACAGUGGCGGUGAAGACUCCGAAGAUCGCCCCUGGCGACCAAGUCAUGCGGUUUUCGGCAAAUCAGCUAUCAAAGAAAACCAUCUUGCCAAUAUGAGGGGAAGGUAUUUCCGGGAUUUGUCCAUUGUGAGGGCGGACGAAGGGGAAAUGACUUGUCCACACCCUGAAGAGAAUGAAGUCGUGGUGUACCGAAGCUUUUUGAAAGCUGGAUUGCGAUUCCCCUUGAGCAGCUUCGUCGUGGAGGUGCUAAAAAUCUUCGAAGUUUAUCUGCACCAACUAACCCCCGAGGCAAUCAUAAGGCUGAAUAUCUUCAUUUGGGCCGUGAGAAGCCAAGGUCUGAAGCCUGACGCAAAAAGCUUCUGUAAUAUUCACGAAUUAUCAUAUGAAACAAAACCUUGGGGUAAGGAACAGUACCAUAAUAAUUUCGGCUGCUAUAGUUUCGUUUCCCGGUCCGGGUCAAGCUGCCCCGUGCCAACUUUUCGGAAGAGAUGGCCCGGCGACUGGACAACAGAAUGGUUUUAUGUGAAAAAUGAUCUGUCAGCUCGAGAAGAUAUCAAAGGUGUAAUUAUGCGCCCUAUUUGGCAAAGCUUCGGCCUUCGGAGGCCGAAGGUUGAAAUGAAUGACGCUGCCGAAGAAUGCCAGAGGGCAUUCGGCGUUAUCUGUUCUUUUAUUGGAACAAGAGAUUUAGUUCAAGAGCAUAUUGCCUUCAGGGUAUGGCCGCUUGCGGAGAAAUAGGAAAUGCCGCAAGAAACCAUAAAAGAGGCCGACGAAGGUGGUCUUAUCAGAUUGAAGUACACUUUUAAAUUUGGAGAUAAAUUCGCUGAGCCAGAUGAUGACUGGUUAAAAAGUAUUGAGAAUUUAAGUGAUGAACUGCUUGGGGCUUAUUCGAAGGCUGAAGAUACUGCAAUGUCAGCAGCCUUCGGAGGCCGAAAAAAGAAGAGGCUGAAUCGGGUAUUUGAUGCAAUCGGGUUUGUCUACCCUGACUAUUGCUAUCCCAUUCGAAGGCAAAAGAGAAAAAACACAAUCUCUUCAAAAGAAGAAGCUGCCACUGCUCCUAACGAGCCAGAACCAAAAAGAAAGAAGAUAAAAGUCCUCACACACCGGCCGCGUUAUAUUGAACCAGCUUCGGUGCCUGAGUUUAUCGGAGAAACUUCUUCGGCCACCGAAGCUGAAAAACUAACCGAGCCAACUUUGCUGCCAGAAGUCGCAGAAACGGCCGAAGCGCCAAAAAAGAUAGAAUUGGAACAAUCAAAGAUUUUAUUAUCAGAAACGAAAGAGAAGGCAGAAGAGCCGUUCACAGAAAAAAUGGAAGAGGCAAAAGAAGCAACUGAUGGAUCAAAAACAUCAGAAGUUUUGAGUCCUGCAUCAAACAUUGAGACAUUAAAAAAUCAAAAAGUGCCAGUAGUAACUCCGAAAAGAAAGAGGAUGGCUAAUGUGCUAGAUGUGCUGGAAACGAUCAACUCUUCAAGCACACCUCCGAAGAAGGCUGCUAUCAUUCCUGAAACAACAAUUGAAAUUUCUGGUUCUGAAGCUCCAGAGCAAAAAACUGAAGCCGAAGCUGGUCCCUCAGAGCCCGCAAAGAUAAAAUCCUUGGAGAGUGAGGCAGAAAAAAUAACAAAGCCAGCUUUUGUUGAAGAAAUCGGUGUCAUGGCCCCCGAAGCAUCCCCCAAAGUUUGUGAUUAUAUUGUUCGUCAUGCUUCGGGGAAAAAACUAUCAGAAAAAGAAAAGCAAGAGGCCCAGCUCUAUGCCCGAAAACUGAAGUAUCCAAAGGGGGCAUUAAUAUUCAAUGGUAGUGGAGAAGAAGACUUCUUGUAUUGUCUCCCUGACAGCAAGGAGAUUUCUGUCUGUCGGGAGAUGAGCAAGAGCUUCGGAUUCCCAACCUUAGAAGACGGGCUCUCGGUGCUGUCGAAGGAUGAUCUGGCCGACAGCCUGGCUUACAAUAGCUUGAAGGUGCAACAAAUGCAAUCCUUGCAUUUUUUGUUGAGUCAAAGAUUUUUUGUUUGAUUAACCCUAUUGACACACACAUAUUUCUCUGUGUAGGGCCUAAUACUUAGCAAUGCCCUCAGGGCUCAGAAAGAUGCUGAAGACGAAGGGUGCUCUAUAGCCCUGAGCAACCUUCGUUCCGAAGUUAUUGAACUGAGGAACGAAGGUCUUGAAAAAGAUAAAAUAUUACACUCAUUGAUAAAUAAAAUAAAGGAAGACGAAGCUAUUUUUAAAGGUCAAGCUGAAGUUCAAAAACGCGAAAUUGAAGACCUUCGGAAACAACUGGCCAGAGCUAAGGAAGAACGCAUACUUGAAGAAACAAGGCGAGAACUCAGCGACCAAUGGGCAGAUCACCUAGAAGCAACUGUUGAAGAGCUUCGUUCGUCCAAAAAGAGAUGCUACAAUAAAUCUAUAGAGUGUGUUAAGAAAUUAAAAACUAGCUUCGCCAGAGUCGGCGCCUUUUCAAGCGAAGAAAACUUUACGAGAGGCAAUCCCGAAGGUCCUAUCGAAUGGAUCGACCACGAAGCUGAGGCCUUCGAAGAAAUUUUAAAUAGCCGUGGAGAUAUAUGUGCUUUCUCUGGUGCCAGAGGGAUUGCCACCAUUUUAGAGAAGAAUGGCUGCGAACAUGUAAAAAUCUUAGCACAAUCCGAAGCAGCUUUGUCUUUUGAAGAUGCAGGAGAUCCUUCGGCCGAAGCUAGUAUAAUUGGUGGAAAGUUUUUUACUGAUAUCUGGGAAAAUGGUGGCCGAGAAAUGGCCGGUGAAAUUAUUCGAAAAAGUGAGAAGGGGAUUCAUGAUGCUAGGGAAGUAGCUGAGGCUGCUGAAAAGAGCGUAGAAGCCGAAGGUCAAUUAGGUAUUAACUAAUAGUUUUUAUUGUGUUGUAAUCUUAAGCUUUACGAUUUGUUUGCGAUUUGUAAUAGCAAUGCAGCCGUGUCCUGUCCUACUUCAGAUCCUGCUAAAGCGUCUUCGGGCCCUCAGCCGAAAGGAGACGACGAAAUCAAAAAGAUGGCUGAAGAUAUUUUGGACGAAGUCGUCAAUCGGCUCCUGAACGAGGCUGCAGAAGUCGUUUUGAGAGAAGAUUGAGUAUUUUGUGUAUAAACUUCUGGAAUGUAAUAUACUGUAAUAUUUUGUAACCCCAAAUGUAAUAUACCUAUUUUUGUUAGUCAAUUCUUUACGAUGCAUGAAACUUUAUACGUACCGCUUUUGAGUCUUUGACGAAAAAACACCUUCCCUUCUUUUCAUGCUUCGUGAAGAAGAAGUUUUCUUUGUCACAACAAUAUCCAGUGUUCUGAUGAACAAUAUCCAAGCUUCGUAAAGAUAUUUUCCGAAGCUACACUUCCGAAGCUACACUUCGUAAAGAUAUUUUCAAAGCGUUCUUCUGUACAUUGAUGAUGCGUCCACCUCUUGUACUAUAUGCAAAAUGAUGUAUGAUGCUUAUGCUAUGCAAAAUGAUGUGAUGAUGUUAUGUUAUGCGAGGUGAUGUUUAUUCCGAAGAUACAUACGCAUUCCUGCAAUAAAACACAAUUCUUUUAUAAGCCUCCCUUAGGAGCUUCUUCGCCUUUUACUUCGGCGGAAUCAGCGUUUAUUUUUCGCUGUAAGCCUCCCUUAGGAGCUUCUUCGCCUUUUACUUUCAGCGGUAUUCGCGUUGACUUUUCGCGCUUCGCCUUUUACUUAGGCGGUAUCAGCGUUGACUUUUCGCUGUAUGCUCUGCAUUCCCUUUGGAACGACUUUGGAGCAGAAAACUUACACUGCGCUCUCUUUGGAACGACUUUUUUGUGACUUCGGCAAACUUACUCUGCGUUCCUUAGAACGACUUUUUGUUGCUUCGAAGAAUUUUCGAUAGUUCGAAGGUCCUUUUUAUUAUCACAAGUCUUUGAACUUCAAUCAAUUUAAACCUGUGAAGAAAACAUAUUUUCCUUGUAGGAAUCAACGAAACUAAUUACAUGAAAUCCAAACAAUGUCCUUUAUUACAGAAAAUAAAACUGAAUGAAAAAGAUUGCUUAUCAAGGUAGGAUAUUUGUCAAUAGAUGUGCUUUGACUCUGGCACAGUGCUAUUGACUGUACGAGCUUCGGACUGCUCUCUGAAGUCCCUCUGGUGCGGAGCAUACUGGCUCCCUUCUGGCUGCUGGCCUUGUUGCAACGGAGGUGGAGGCGGAGGCUGUUGACAGGAAGCUUGAGGCUGACUCGCCGAAGCAACAGAAACUGCAGGAUGAUUGCCCACAUAUUCUGGGAUGUAGGGCGAAUGAUACGAAGCUGUAUGCAUGACCUGCUUCGGCUGAGCUUGUUGCGCUGCAGCUUCGGCUAUUUCCUUUUGUUUCUGAAUAGUAACAUGGCACAUCCUGGUGGUAUGGCCUUUGUUCUCACCGCAGAAUAAGCAAAAGAUUCUUCUCGGUUGAUCGCCAAAUCUUCCUCCGAAGCCCCUGGCACCUCUGCCUCUUGGAGCUGGUGGGCGGAAUGAGCUUUGCUAUUGCCCCGAAGCCUGUGAGGAACAUUGUGGCCUUUGCUGUUGGCUUCCUCUAUCAUCAUUUUGUGUAGAGUUAUGAAUUGAUCUCACGUGCUUCGGGUAAAACCUCCCUCCGAAGCCCCUGGUCAUUUCAGAAAACCUGAAAGCCUCCUCCCUUCUUUGGCGAAAAUCAUUAUCGGCCCGAAUGUACUCGUCCAUCUUCUGAAGCAACUUCUCCAAAGUUUGAGGAGGCUUCCUGGCGAAGUACUGAGCUGACGGUCCUGGCCGAAGCCCCUUGAUCAUGGCCUCAAUGACAAUUUCAUUGGGCACCGUUGGUGCUUGUGCCCUCAAACGCAAGAACCUUCGGACAUAUGCCUGAAGGUAUUCUUCGUGAUCCUGGGUACACUGAAACAGAGCCUGAGCAGUAACCGGCUUCGUCUGAAAUCCUUGGAAGCUAGUUAACAACAAGUCCUUCAGCUUCUGCCAUGAAGUGAUCGUUCCUGGCCGAAGGGAGGAAUACCAGGUUUGAGCAACACUCCUGACAGCCAUAACGAAAGAUUUGGCCAUGACUGAAGCAUUGCCACCAUACGAAGAUACUGUUGCUUCGUAGCUCAUCAAAAACUGCUUCGGGUCUGAGUGGCCGUCAAAUACAGGAAGCUGGGGCGGCUUGUAGGACGGAGGCCAAGGUGCAGCCUGCAGCUCAGCGGACAGAGGAGAAGCAUCAUCAAAAACAAAAUUUCCGUGAUGGAAAUUGUCAUACCAGUCAUCCUCGUUGGGAAAACCCUCCUGAUGAAGAUCUUGAUGCUGAGGCCUUCGGUACUGCUCAUCCUGAGCAAGAUGACGAACUUCUUCAGAGGCUUCGUCUAUCUGCCUUUGUAGUUCAGCCAGCCUGGCCAUCUUUUCCUUCUUCCUUUGUACUUCUUGAUGAAGCAUCUCCAUGUUUCUGAUUUCUUGAUCUAUCUCGUCCUCUGGUGGUGUUGGGCUGACAGCCUUCCUUUUCUGGCUUCGGGCCUCCCGCAGGGAGACUGUCUCCUGAUUGUGGUCCAAUGGUUGCAGAGCUGCAGCCCCAGUCGCUGAGGCUUUCUUCGGCGCCAUAACGAAGAUUUAUGAUCGCCGAAGGUGUUCAAAAAAUUCAGAGUGGAAGUGAGUUCACCGGAGGUGGGCGCCAAUGUUGGGGACUUGUUCUCAAAUGCUAUGAAUUAAGAACAAGGCAACACAAAAUGUUAAAUGUCAAUAUCCUUCGUCCUUCGAAGCAUUAUUUCCCUAAGGAUAUAAUGAUUUUCGGACGAAGGUUACGAAGGACAUACCUUCAUAAGUUCAUUAUAUAGUGACGAAGGAUAAAAUGUAAAGAAUAUAAAAGACAACAUAAAUAAUUAUAUAUUACUCAUCAGACAUAAACAAAAACAUUAUUGAAUUACAAGUGUACCUCCGAUUGAAAGGAGAUGAAAGUACAAGCGUGACGCAAAAAGCGAAUGCCAAGUCAGCGUGAACAGUACGGGGGUACUGUUCACCUAUUUAUAGGCACGGGACACAACCCAUACAAAAUUACAUUCAUGCCCUUUACACUUAGUAAUAAUUCUAUAGUAAUCUGUCGAGGUCUAAAUAGCCUUUUCAUCUUUAAGUCGGUUUCACUUUUUGUUGUCGCGCCGAAGCUUUCCUGCUCACACCUUCGGCGCUGUAUCAACCUUC
rnacentral:lncRNA from 1 species